UCCACGAGGAAACGAACAGGAUAUCUGGCCGCAGGAGCGAUCGCCGCUGACUAAGAGGAACUACGCCCGCCAAGAGAUGCAUUAUCGAUCUAGUCUAGAGCCCCCCGUAGCACCCCCUUCCGCGCCGGCCCUGCCACCACCCACCUGUGCCAUCGUAUAGCAACAGUCGCACCUCAUCUCCGACAGGAACGUCGCUCCUGCGAUUAGUCCUGGUCCCUGGCACAAGACGAACCUAACUCAAAGCUGGACUAAAAAUGAUCCAGGCAUCCGUUGACGAAGGGUUGGAGACAAGCAACCGGUGUUCCAUGAAUUUCACUUCAAUUUUGGAUGGCACUUCCGGGCUAUAAACUCACAGAGGGUGGACCUAUAAGCGGGCCGUCUGCAUUCCCGGCAGCAGUUUUAGGCUAGCAUAGGGAUUCGCGCUUAAUCAGCUAAGCCAUUGAGACGGUUUGCGACAACGGUCCCGUUCUCUCUACCCUGUGAAUAAUUGAGGGACUCGAUCCGUGCAGAUCACCGUUUCUAAAACUGCGAACCAUGACUCCCCAGAGGCUGGCUUUAAAAUUCUUUCGUGGGUCACAGAACAUUUCGAAAAAUAUGUAUCAAAGUAUUUUGUCUUCGUACAAAAUAUAUUUUAAGCUGGGUGUCUUUCUAAGCUUUGCAUUUAACACUAAUCUAUUAAUUUUAUACAGGCUGAAUCCUCUAAGCUUUGCGUCUAAAAUAAAUCCAUUAAUUUUACACAAUUUGUCUCCUAAGCUUUGUAUCUAAAUCUAUUAAUUUUAUAUAGGUUGAAUCUUGUAAGCUUUGUAUCUAGAAUAAAGCCAUUAAUUUUAUACAAGGUGCCUUCUAAGCUUUGCAUCUACAAUAAAUACGUUAAUUUUAUACAGGGUGUCUUCAAGGGUAUCUGUAUGAAUGUAUGCAGGAGGAGCUUACGAUAAAAUGAACAUUCAGUUCUACCUGCAAUGACGAGGUGAUAGCGAUAAUUGUUUGUUACAGCACGUAAAUAACAAAACGAUGAGUAAUGAGCAAAGAAAGCGAUGGAAAUCCAUAAAAAACGAACGAACUGUGGUUCGAUGAAUCGAAGAAAAAGUUAUUUGCAUGACGAUCGUUUAAAUUAUGUUUGAGAAGAAUGAUUUACGAUCGGGAGUGUCAAAGGGAACAUUGGGAUAAUUUCAGAAAAAAAUACGAGUUUUUCGCACACAGGUUCGAUAUUAAGAAAGAGAGACUCGAGGUAUUUAUUAAUCGCUUUUAUUUGCAAAUACUUUCUCAAUCGUUUAUUAUAGAUCGCAUUCCACGCUACAAUACUCUUACGUCGCUAAUACUAAAUAAAUAUUACUCUUUGGUACUUUUGCAGGAUUUUACGCUUGUAGCAAUUUGUUACGCAAAAAUAUGUUUUGUUCAUUUACGAUACUGUCCAAAACUUCGCAAUCUCCGGUAGUCUUAAGAUAGCAUACACGAUAAUAUUAUACAAAAUAUUGCUUUAGUUUGUACAAACAUAUUUACAAUAAAGCGUGUCUCGUGGCCUUUUCCAAAUCGAGCUAGAUGUUCUAAUUGGAGAAUAAAAAGCAGAAGGUAGUAUUAUUGUGGAAAAAAUGGUGUAUUAUCCUAACUAGUUAACUAGAAAAAUAUUACCAACAUCACCAAGUAUAGGAAUAAAUAGGAUAAAUGAUAAUUUAUCAUAAAAUGUUUAUAAAUCGUCAAGUAUCAAAUUCAUGGUUAUUUUCUAUGUUUUAUACCAAAAAAUGAAUUAUUAAACAAGAAAAAUUAUUUCUGUAUGAAAACAACUUCCGACACUUGUACAUCACACAGUAUAAAAUAAGAAACAACAGUAUUACAAGCUUCUACAAACGUUAUUUUUUUUAUAACGAAGAAUCAUAACAACGUAUGAUAGAAUUACUUUUAUUAACCAGAAUCUAUGAAUAUUCCUGAUUGGAAAAAGCAAGUGAAUUCAUAUUAUAUUGUAAGUUUGUGUUUCAGUGUUGUAUCUAAAAAAUCACAGGAUAAUUGAAUAAAUUUUGAUAUUAAUAAAGAAUUGUUUUAUUAGGUGUUCUAUAAAUAGAACACUGUCACUAAAUGGGUUUAAUCAGUAAUGCCAUCGAGUAGAAUACACAAGGGCACAACGCAAAGCAUGAGUCGUGUGUCCGUCGCCAAACAGUUGACAGAUUCUUCAAUAUUUAUUUAUUUAUUUAUAUAUUUCUGUAAUUAAUGAGUUAAAACACAAUUUAAACCAUAUUAAAAUUUAAGUUGGACAAAGUACAAGCUGAAUAUAUUGGGUUGUCCAGAAAGUUCGUGCCAAUUUUUAAGGAACAUUCAAAGACACGUUUGAAUUUCGAUAUAUAUUUAUUGAAUUAUCUAUGUACCAUUUUGUUCCACAACCUUUCCACCUCUCAAGGAAUGUACACAUUUUAUUUGUUUUCAGCCAUUCCGAUAUAUUCAGACCUGUACCGUCUACUAAAAAUCGGCAUGGACUUUACAGACAACCCAAUAUAAUAUUGUGCAUAUUAUCAAUUAUAUUAAUAUCACAAUGUAAUACUUUAUAAUGUACUCUUGAAAGAUAUUGCAAAUUACUCGAGAGCCAUUCAUAUGGGUAUAAAUUAUUAAAUAAUUGGAAUCCUUCGAAAUAUGAAGCUAACACGUGAAAAAAUUAAUCAAGCAGUUAUCAUAGAUAAGGCAUCAUUAACCAAGUUUUAAUUGGUAUAAUUAAACUUCCUUCCUGAGUUCUACGUAGAUCCUAUUAGACAGCGUGUACUUAAAUAUCAUUCGACACAGGAAGUGUAUACCUUGCAUUUAAUUAUUUACUAACUAUACAAGGUGGCUCAGUAUUUACAAAAUAAUCGAUAUCAGAGAAAACUAUGUGCACCCAACUAAUAACAUAUUACUUUAGUUUAUAGUUCUUUAAAAUAAUUGUGAAAUUAUUCUUCAAAUACUGUGCUCUUUAUUGAUCUCAUCGCUAUAGCAAAGACACUGGAAGAUAAAAAAUAAAUUUUAUUAUCAGCGAAAUAAAGUUUCUCUGAAUCUCAUCUAAACAAGACACUGGUACUUAAUAGGUUAACAUUUACUGUUCGUUUAUAAUAUUCUAUAAACAGUGCACCUAAAAAUAAAACAUACUCGAAGCAUUUUUCUGGACCUGUUAUUCCAAAUUAUUUGACAAUGUUGGCCUGUAGGAACAAUAUCGCGAAACAUUAUUUAGACUGCGGAAGUUUAUGCAUUUAUGGCAAAUAAAAAUAUGGGAAAAUUUAUAAGGAUGUGCACACAUUUAAAAUAUAGAUAACCGUAUCAACAAUAAAGUACAUGUCGGACUGUUUAAAAAACAAGACAUACUUUUAUCUGAAUUUUAUUUUGAUGUCUACUUCUGUAGACAUUGGAAUUUGCAUAAACAUCCGCGUCUACAUAUUAUAUAAACAUGUAAUGGAGUUGGAAACCACCGUGCCAGUCGGAGCUUCUAGAAUCCAUCCGGUUAGAAACAGGCUUAAGGGAUGCCAAAAAAAGGGCAACCCACGCGGAGAACGUUGCCUUAACCCGUUCCUAAAUCUAACCUUCCUUUACCACCAACGCGAAUUCAUUGGAAAGAACGCAGCGUGCAACUUUCAACAUUUAUAUUUCACCAAUUCUCCCCUUGACUGGGGAAUUGAAAUUUAAAAAAAAAAAAAGGUCAGAGAAUCUUUUUUCUUUUAUAGUAACCGCAUUUUCUAACAUAAUUUUUAAUCGACCAGGCAAUUAUUUAACUCUUUGCGGCACAGAAAUUCAGGUCAUAAAAUAGAUCCAUGUUGCACAGGAAUUUUAUUGCGUUUUAAAUCAAACAAAAUUGUUAUAAAGGUAUCACACCUAUACACAUGCAGCUAUUGCAAAAUUUCGAGGUGGGAUUAAAAGUGUCCCACCAUGCAUUACGAUCCAUCAAAAAGGUGGGACACUUUUAAUCCCACCGUGCCCCAAAGAGUUAAUCAAUUUCAAAUGUUCUAUAGAAUAUAAUCGACCUCUAGAUUCGUUGCGACAUCUAUAGCGCCUCAUUGUUAAAAAACAAAAAAAAAAAAAUCAAGCUCGAAUAUUUCGUCCCGAAAGAGGAUCCGUUGUUUCCCCGCGACGUUGUUUUUUUCACGUGUCCUUUUUUCUUUAUUUCGAUCGUUCGGGAACCGUACAUCGGUUCAGUGUGUAUAUAGGGAGCAACAGAGAGCUAAUUUUAACCCAAUGACAGCAGGGGGAAGCAAGGAAGAUAGGAAAAAUAAAAACGAAACGAAACUUCUCCCCGCUACUCGAGGCCUCCGAUGGUCACUCGUUUCCCCUCUGCAUCACCUGACAUAAACGUGAUUCGGUACGCAGCAUGGGAGCACUUGGUCAACGAUGGGCACAUUUUUAUUCAAAUAACAGAUGACGAACGAAAACCGCGGCGAUUUGUCUUCUGCGUUCGAUCGAUUCAACAGUUACUCGAGGAAGCUUUCACGCAUUGAAUAUAUGUACAGUGGGUGUAGAAA